GGGAAGGUAGCUCAAUGGUAGAGUGCUUGCCUUGCAUGCAUGAGGCCCUGGGUUCAAUUCCUCAGCACCA
rfam:Dipodomys ordii contig_64631, whole genome shotgun sequence.